AGUACAGGUCAGCUUGGUCGGCAGAGACCAAGUGUUAUACCUCAUUCUCAGUACUCUGACUCCUUUCCGUGCCUCCUACUUUUAUGUAUCCCUUACCUGGGAGCUUGGCAAAGGGAUAGCUGAUACUCUGGGAAACAUAGUAUCCUCUACUGUUUCUUUUCUUUUAUUAUGUUUUUGUUUUUCUUUUCUUUGUUUUGCCUUCCUCUUGCACAGGGAGGUGGGAGACGCUUCAAGUGUCUGACUGACCAAUAUUUGCCACCCUACCACUUUUCAGGUAUUUUUUUUUGCAACCAAACCUUGUAGAGGUGUUAGAGCGACAGAUUGACAAAAAAGAAAGAGCCACAGGGAUCUCACAGCGAUCCGUGUGUUUUAGCAGUGGUUGGGGUUGCAUGAAAGGACUGAAAACUUCUCAUUUCUCCCUCUAAAAGUCGAAACAUUUUAGGAUUCAGUCGUCUGGUUUCACCCUGGAGGCACUAAGUCAUGUUGGUCCCACCCUGGUCUGAGAAAGAACAAUGAGUUUUGUUCACUGAGGGGUUUUAUUCCUUUCUUUUUCGUGGUUUAUUGUUUGCUUUUAAGUGUAACACAACUCCAGUUUGAAACUUGACAGGGGGAUUUUUUUUAUUUCUCACACCAAGAGAAAUCAGAGACCCAGAGGGGAGAUUGGGGGACAGGUGGACAAGUUAACCUUCCUUUAUCAGUCGUCUUUUAAAAGAAAAAUAUUCUAUCUGAAACUUUUUACACUGCAUUCCCCAAAAAACACGGCACGCACAGGAAAAUGUACCUUAAUAUGAUGAAAAUGAAAAAAGCUAUAUGAAUAUGUAUGUAUUUAUUUUACUGUUUUUUUUGCAUCUUCAGGUAAGCCAAUCAAUUUCUCUGCUUUUCAGGUUGGUUUCUAUUUGAUUUGUUUUUUUUCUUUUGUUUUUCUUCUGAGCGAAAGACUGUCAAAAACGUGAUGAAAAGAAAAAAAAUGUCGAACAGCAACUACUGUAACCUCAUUUAGUAGACGCCGCAUGAUGCACCAUUUUGUUAGAGGAUGGCGUGUGAUGCGGCGAGCUCGCCAGGAAAGAAAGAACCAUAAUGUAUGUGAUUGCCAUGCUCCUCUCUGCAGGGAGGUUUCUUCUGUUUCUUAUUCUGUCACGCUGCAUAUCUGGUUGUCAUUUAUACCUCAGGUCCGACCACUUCAAAGCAGCUGAUUGUAUAUUAGAAACACACACACAGGAAGAAUCAGGAUUUUUAGUACAGCUCGUUUCCAGAUUUUUAGAUGUUAACUGACAGAAGCAGAUUUUGAAUAAUUGUCGUUUCUCGUUGUGGUUGUUCGUACUGUUGUUAUUCUGAUGGCAUCUUAUUUUUCUUUGUUUUCGUAUAAACAAAAAAAUUCUUUAAAGCCAGAAGCCAGGUUUCCAUGAAUACAAUGCUGUAUUCUCUCUAGCACAUACAGCCGUGGAAGAGCAGAAACGCACACACACCGAUAGAGACACCGACAGCAACACACACUCUCCCUCCUCAUCAGGUAGCCACGCUUUGUGUGGGCGGAUUAUAUGUAUAAUUAUGAAGCUGGAGUCUGCCGUGUCUCUUUUAGAAGCAGGUGGGUGUGUUUUGUCCACAGCCUGCAGAACAUCAGCCCUGCUGGCUGAUUUUGAUCUGGCACACUGGGACACUGCAGGCACUGCCUCUGUGAAAACCACUUUGUUUUGUCUCAGGCUUUUUCUUCUUCUUUUUUUUAAUAUCAACCUCCUGAUCUUUCUGUUAAAGGAAAAAUCCACCCUACUGUUGUUGUGUUGUAAGCCACCAGGCUGUGAUGCUCUUUGCAUUCCUGCUUGCCUCAAGUUUCUCUCCCUUUUUUUUUCUUUAGAAGUUUUCCCUCAAACUGCCUUGUCUAUUUUCUGCUGCUGUAAGUGACUGCCCUCUGUUCCCAGACCUCCGUUUGACAACCCCUGGGGUACGGGCAUGAAUUCAUUGUAUUCAGCCGCGUUAACUGUGGGCGGAGACGCACAAACAUAACACAAUCAUGAGCCUUCAUUUUUGUUUGGAUGUGGAAAAUCAAAAGUGGCACAUGCUGUUACAAGCCUCUGUGUUUUGAGCAAAAUGGGGAAAAAGUUGGACACCUGUAGUUAAGCAUUUCGUCUGCCUGAUAAAAAAGCACAACCUCGAAGGAUGCCGUGUCCUUUUGACAAGAAAUCCUGUAACUCAUAUUUAUGUUUUAAAGGACUUUUUUCUAGAUUUUUCUAAAAAAUUAAGCCUCACAUUCGAUUUUUGAGAAAACACAGAAUAAAAGCAAGAAAGAAUAGCUCCUACAUUGACCAUCGUGGCGUCAGGGUUGGAUUCUCCGUUUAAAGAUGCAAUCAACACAACAAGCCGACAAAAAAAAAAAAAACAAGCCGCACGAAUGCAAAGAACAUCACCAGUUAUCAGUUUUUUCAGUAGGUGGUGCCUGAGAAACUGUCUGGUUUGUUUUAAGGUGGAUUUUUCUUUUAACUGCAUAUCGAGCUACAUAUCCAAGAAACAUGUCUGUCUCUUACAACAACAUCUACCUGACUUAAAGUGCAGUUUUAAAGAAUAAUUAUCAGCACGUUGACUUACGGUUACAAUUCUCCUUGUGUAUGGAAAGCUUUGCUGUACUGUGUUUUGUUUUUCUUUCUCCACACAUUUGUCAAAGCGGCGCUAACGGAUCUGUUAAAAUGUGCAUCUCCUCUGUCGUGGAGUGCGAUGACAAGUUUCAUAAAUGUCAAAGCAUUUGUGAAGAUGUGACAAGCAGUCACUCAGUAGCAGUCUGGCUUUGAGAGCAGAGCUGAGUAUGGAACCUUACUGGCCAGACACGCCUCCAGAACGAUGCCGAUCUGCAGCAAUCAAAUCAACCUGCACUCCCUUUUAGUCAAAACCUACUAAUUUACUAAAAUUAACACUCCAAGAAGGAACAUUUCCUCGAUAACAGUCGACAGUUUGAGCCAUAAUGUUACGUCACAAUAAGGAAAGAUGAGAGAGCGCAGAAACUAGAUGAUGAUUUUCAUUAUUGCACCUUGAAAUAGCCUUUUAACCCCUAGAUGCACGAGGGGUUGUUUUAUGCCAUUAUUGUCAUUGUGGUUAAGAACAAUAAUUUGUAUUAUUGUUCAUAUUAUACUUAUGUCCACAUAAGGAUGAUUUCAUGUUUGAAAUAUGUUUAUUUUUCAUUUUAUAGCAGAUUUUGAACAUUUUAAUGAUUGAAAAAGAAGAAUAUUAUACAGAACUGCAAUAGAAGAAUGUCAGCAUCCAUUUUGUGGACAUUUUUCCACUCUUUUCCUCCAGCUGUUGCUGCUCUCCAUCCCUCUUGUAUGAUACUAUCAGUGAUAAAGAGCUUGGGGUAUUAAUACAAAUAUUACAAUUUCCUUAAAAGUAUAAAAUGUAACUUAAAAAUGUAAAUUGAAUGAUAUGAAUGAUAUCAAAAACAUGUAUUUAUAGGAAUAGCUGGAAUAUGAAACGAUAAAGAUUUUUCAUUACAAAGAUAUUUUCAGAAAACAACCCACUUAUGCAUCUAAGAGUUAAGGCAUUCUUCACUAACGCUGUACUGAAAAUAAUGUGCAUAUUCACAGCCGGACUUUGCGUAAUUCCAUAGAGCUGGAUGUGUUUUCAAAUCACAGCCUUGGCUCUUAACUAACGUCUUACAUUCAAACUGAACAAUAAGUGAUUACAUAUUUAUUCCUCAACCAGGGGAUCAAGAGUGCCUUUUGAAGCCUCUAAUCAGAAUCUUUAAAUCGAAUCUUUCAGGGUGGGUUUCUCAGUCAUGUCUAAUCUAACCACCCAGGUGAAACUAUGGAGCAUUCUUCCGUCGAAAGCAAAAUGUCUUGCGAGAUUCAGGUCAAAUUUGUCAGCUUAAAUUCCCCCAGCCCCCCCCCCACCUUUCCGUGAUUAUGUUGCACUGUGAAAGGCUCGCAGGCAGACAUUUUCCCACACUGGCUGUUCUCGCCUCCGACAAGCCCGCGGUGCCGGCGUUCGUCUCACCCCUCCGCCUCGUCAGAGAGCCUCCUUACAGAUGGCAGCCAGACAGACGGUCGGAUAGACGUGCCGGUCUGAGGAGGUGGAUGGGAGUGCGAGGAUGAAAUCUAACUGAAGUAGAGAAGAAUAAAGGCCGCUGAAGGUCGCCAUCCCCACCCCCACGCCACAGUUAAACACCGGGCUUUUAAUGGAACAAUGCUGAAAUUCGCUUCACCGCCGAGCGUUACCUUGGCAGGCAGCGUCUGAUUAAAAGGUGCUGCUGUAGAUCUGAACGUCUGCUCAGAGAGACAAAGAGAUUUUUAGGGACAAAAAUAUUGCAGGUUGGAGAAAGAACUUUUGAAGAUCCAAGCGAGGACGACGUGAAGGAAACGUGAGGUGCCCUUGUGUGUUGCCAUGACAAUCUUGCAGCAUUGUUCCCAUGUGGAGGUGUGUCUGGCCUUUUAGAGCCACCUACAUGGACCAGCUGCUCUCUGCUCCUCUGAACUCAAAGCCAGCUCUUGCUAACGCUGGUUCAUCUCCUGCGCUUGCACAAAGCAAAGCGUUCAGUUCGGAUAACCCAACAGAACUGAUUCAGAUCAGUCUUAAGGUGCAGACGCCGCUGCUAAUUCUUCAGGUUUUGUCCGGUAUAUUUCUGAUUCAAAGGAAAUACGGCCAAACUCACAACAAAUAUUUACCACAGAAUGUCUGCUCUCCUUUUCCCCCGUCUCCACACACUUCUAGCAGAUUUGUACCUCUUUCUACAUCUUGCUCUCUUCUGUAUCCAUACAAGAGCAUCUGAGAGCAUAUAUUUGUCCUUCUCUUUGCUUGUCUCUGACACGGUCUCUGUUAUUUCUGCUACCUCAGUCUGUCACGAGGACUCGCCUGUAGGGAUCUUUUCAUGUGCUGACAAGUCACUCAGUUGCACAAUGUUGGUUCGACAAACUAAAGCAUAUUCUAUUUCCACCAUUAGAAUCAUUUUGUACCAUCCCUGGGCAUUUUGAUGAGAGUUAAAUGCUGCAGAGAUGAUUUAUCAGGCCUCAGGAGUCCCACUGGCAGUUCUCGAAGACAGUACCCUCUGAUUGUGCGCUGACUGUUGCGGUCUCUUCUUCUUGUUUUUCCUCUCAGAAAAUGUGUCACAUCUUGAUUGUUCUGUCACUCAAAAAUGUGGAGCUUCCGGACAUGCCGGAGCAUCCGCCCGGGUAGGGGCCUCGCAUCCCUCUCCACACUUCUUUUAACGCUGUUUGAUUUUAUUGUCCCUUUCUUAGAUGAAAAGUCAUAAAACCCCGUGCUUCCCUUCCCUUCACCUUUGCCCCUCAACUAUGUGUCAUCCUCUCAGCGUCUCUGGUCAGUGGAGCGUGAGCACCGUGGGCUGGCAGGCCCUCAUUUAUCCCAGGAGAGAUGGGGUGCUCCUGUGCAGCCCCAGGUCCUUCACCUCUCAUCAGAAUCCUCCCUCUUCUUUUUUUUACCUUUCUGUUAUCUUUUCACAGAGGCUUUGCCGUGCUCUCCUCUGAUGAGGAACGUGCAGAUUAUUUAAGGCAGGGCUUCGCGUUCUUUCAGCAACAAGGGAGGGACAUUAUCCUCUGCAAUACUGAGUCUUUCUACAAGGAGAAAAACACACCGACUCACCACAUACAGUAUGUUAGGGAGUUGGUUAAUAUUUCAGCUUUUGGUAUAAAUUUCAUGAACUCUGCCCACAAAAGAAGCUCAAUAUUUUAUAGGUUUGGCCAUUAAUUUUGUAUGAUGUCUCUGAUCUCCUGUGUUGAUGGUUCAAAGUAACGGGCUCGGGCUUGACUUUUGGUUUCUGUGUUGAAAAAAUAGAAAAACAAGAAAAAAAUCAGCUAAUGAGCAGGGUCGUGUUUUUGUUGAAAUUGUCAGUGUAUUUCUGUGAUUCUCUUGUAGCUUCUGUUUUUCCGUCUUUAUGAGUUAUGAUGUCUUCUGAAUUAUGGUGUCUUUGACGACCGCGUACCUUCUCUGUUACCUUUGAGUUGUGAAGUCUACACUACAUUGCAGAUAACCACACCAGCCGGUGUAUUUAUAGUCGAGCUGAAGAGCAACACCGGCUCAUGAGUGUGAUCGAUAGUCGGGUCAGACAGACCGGCACUUGCUGAGCGGAUAUUGGAGUUCAGUCCUCAGACAGGAAGUUUGGCAGGUGAGAUAAAUGUUCUUAAACUGUACAGAAGAUUACAGUUCUGUCUGCAGAAACAGCAAACUUUUUUGUGGAAGACCUCGCAGUCACCUGGCUGACUCAUGAAAGCAAGAACAUCACUUAAAAGGGUAUUUCAGAAGCCUUCUUUAUUAUUUUUGACUGAUUCUGUACAUUAUUUUCAGCCAAAUACUUUUUCAGUGCUUUAUAAACAGCAAGGAUUGUAAAUCUGAAUAACUCUUAGCAGGGGAGGCUCAUGCAGAGCUCGCUUAAUGACCCACCUCGUUAGUCCUCUGGAGAUCUAACCUACAAGACUUGGACUGUUGCCUUCCCACAUGUCAAAAUUAAGGAAAGCCGCUCGCUUAAAAAAUGAGUCGAGCGCUUUGACUGAAUCUGCGCAUGGGAAAGUGACGCUAAGUGUUUGUUCUUUCUUUCAGUCUUUGAUUACAUUUUCCAUCUUGGUGUUUUUUGGUGUGCAAAAAUGUAAAGAAGAAAAAAACUUACAACACAGAAUACCUCAGAAAAGAAAUCCAUGUAACCUUGACAACUUCCAUAUAUUGUCAGAUCAUGUCCAUCGACACUCAUCACCUGCCCUUUCUCUCUUCGUUUCCCCCUCUUGCUUUGUUUCCUCUUUUCCAUGCAGUGCGUAGCUGCAGUGGAGGUUCCAUAGCUUUUUACGUAUGUGUUCUGUCUUUUGAUUCGUGAACAUUCUUGGUCCCAAAGCUUCUGCAGCCCACACAGCAUUCCUCGGUUGUUUUUAAAGACAGCUCGACACUGAUAUUUCAUAUUUCUCAACAGCUUGCGAAAGAUUCACGGAAUAUUUUUCUUUGCAUAAGUUCAUCAAAAGUGGGUUUGCUGAAAGAAUGACGGCCAACAUGUGGAACACUUGAAACCACACAUUCCCCUCCCCGUUCCUUUUACAUACCUCUCUAUCUCCUUAUCUACUCUUUAUCUUUGUUGAAAACUGAAUGUAAAAAAAAACGCAAACACAACAAACCUCUAAUUUAACUAUACAUAUUUAAGAAUUUAAAAAAAUGCUCUAUAUGUGCACAUAGAUAUACCUAUACAAGCCCCACACAGACACAAACACAAAUGCAUAUGUAUAUAAAAAUCUCUAAUGUCAUAUACUUUUAUCUUGAAAAGGAAGAGGAUGAGCCUUUUCCAUUGAUGAUUCAGGGAAACAAUACAGAAGUCCAGUGCAGUAUGUUAGGUGAAAUCACUCCCACUCUGUCGCUUUUGGUGUUCGUUUUCUUACUCCGUUCUUGCUUGUUAUUUCCCCAUGAUGUAGCAUAGGGCAAAGGGGGCAGGGCGACUUAAGUUUUUUCGUUAACAGAAGAAGUAGUGAAACUAGGAUCUUGUGUAAUUGUAGUCUUUACAAGCCUGAUUCUGUGAAACUGGGGGGUCGGGGUGGUUGGGUGGGUGUUUGUUUUUGUUUUCUAAAGCGGACACUGUAAAGACAGUAUAUUUAUGAAGAUGACUCAGACGUGAAAGUCACAUUUUGGGGGGGUUUAAGGGCUGCUGGGAGGGGUGUCUUCAGGAUGGUUGUAUAUAGAAUCGCUUUACCCAUCAACCCUCACCUGUCUUUUUCACAGGUGAGGUGGAACUGUAUGCUGAAGGCACUGAGGAGGAACGCUUUGUGUGUUUUUAUGUCUAGAAAAGUAAAGACUGUUUCAAAUGAAGGAAAUGGAGGAGUAUGGAUCCUGUCCAGGUUCUCCGUAGAACCCGGCAAACGGUGAAGUCGUUAGAAAGUGCAUCUCCCUUGUACUUUGCCGGGAGUGACGGACGGUUUCACGAACGUUGACCCCCUUGAUAUUUUGCAUGCUGGUGUACAUACCCCUGUAUCAGUCCUUUGGUUUGAAGAGGCUGGUUAAUCCAAAAGCGCUUUUGUUGGAUGUUGUCCACAGGACAGAUUCUGAUGUUUUGAAUAUAAAAUAUUGCCCCUAAGAAAAAAAUCCCUUUCCUGAGAAGGAGGAGCACCUAAGGUGUUUGUUUGUCACUGCAGCAGCUUUCGUAGUGGUUUUUGGCUAAAGCUCUUUUGCAAUCAUUUUUUUCCUUGUGUAAACUAAAAACAAAAAAAGUGCGUAUGAGUGUGUGUGUGUGUGGCUGUGUAAGAAACAAUGUGAAAAGCUUGCUCUUUUUUGAUUUUCUCCAGUUCUUCUACCAUGUUUUAGCCUCAGACCUGCUUUUAGGAACAUUAAUCUACUUGUGCUCUUAUGGUAACUCAACGGAACAGUUGGAAGAACUGCAUCUCUGAACGUAUCCUGGCUGUCUGUAGAAAACAUGCCUUUCUCUGGCGCCUUACAGACCCAAAUUUCAUUACCCAGACACCCUCAGGGACCCUCAACACUGCUCUCACUCUUAUUCAGGUACUUAAUCCACACCGAGGCCUAGCAGUGAUCAACCUUAACUAUGGUUUCUUUUCAUUAACCUGUUCCUAUAAAGACCAAUUACAGCCAAAAUUUUAAGUAAUCAGAAGCAGUUUUUCUCACCCUCAGAGUUUAGUUUGGUGUUCUACUCAUGGAAUUACUACUAUUACGUUUUCUAUCCUUUAGCUGUCUCUUCUCAGUUCUUUUGAUCUCUGGAUACUUUUGGUAUGCUAUGAAUGUCGAUCUUCUCAGUUCAGGACCACGGUUCUCUCUCUGACUUGUAUAAAGUGCCAUGGCUUUUGCUCUGCAGGCCUGCAGAGCUGUUGAGGAACGAAGCGAGUCGAAGCGGAGCUGAAAGACCUCUGGAGCAGAUUGUUCUCAUUUGUUCUUUCACUUUUUAGGCAGCCACUUCUCUCUGCUGUGAUUGGCUGAAGCCUCUGCUGUACAUUGCUCAGAGUUUGUGUUGUUGCACGCAGCUUGGCCGACGCCGUCUCCUGUAAACUUUAGAGUCUGUUUUUUCACAGUCAUGCAAAAGCAAUUAUUUAUUGAGCUGGUCUGGAUGACAGGAGUGUUUAAUGAAUUUUGCCUACAUUUUGUACCUCUUACAACAAUCACAUCAGUGAUGUUUGGUGAGAACUAUGUUAAACAGAUAAGUUGUAUUUCAUGUUGUAAGAGCUCUUAAGAUUACUUUUGACAUUCCUGAUGUUGGUUUUGGUAGUAACCUGAUUUUGUUGUGAUAGCGAUAGCUCUGACUGGUUUGGAAACAGCUUACGAUACUUGGGUAGAUGCAGGAAGUGUUGUUCAGGGGUUUGGACUCUAGUUUGGAUAGAACAACAAGCCUCUUCUUUGGUCUCAGUUUUUGUCCUGCUGAGGUUUCUAACGUUUGUAAUCUCACCUCGGUUCUUAACGGGUGGCUGGACGCCCCGCGGCAGGGCCUGCUGGGCUUUUUCCUCGUUUCCACUGAGAUUUUGUUUUUGGGUUUGACGAUAUACCUCAUUCCUUCAGUCCAGCGGGCCCUAGGGGGCGCUGUGCCGAUGCUCAGGACGCUCAAGCCCCCUUUCAUGGUUUGGUCCCACUUGGACUGUACCUCUCACAAACACAUAUAAACACACGCACACACACACACACAUGCGUACACACUUAUACACAGGUUCUCCAAAUACCCCAAUGGACCUCAUUUUUCAAUAUCUACUGUUUACAGUUUGACAAAAAAAUUGUAUAAUUUAAAAAAUAUUUUUCUCAUAUUGUAGUUUUAUUUAUGUACAAUAUUUUUUGUUUUCGUUCUUAUUUUGUACCUUGUGAGUUGGACUUUUAUUCUUCUAGGCUUAUAUUAUUGAUGUCCAUGUAAAUGAGCACUUAACAAGGAUCACAAUAAUCGAUUUUAGUUUGAUUGACACUGUUUUAUUUUUCCCUUUCUCUCUCUCCCUGUUUUGAAUGCAAAAUCGGAUUUUCUGUUUGGGCUAAUGAAUAAUGAAUUGUCUCAUAAUGUCUGUGAUUUUUUUUUUUUUUGACAAAAAGAUGAAAGAUGAUGACUUGAUUUCCUAAAGUUUUUUUUUUUUUACUUCAUUUUGCAUUGAACAUCAGGCGACGCUGAUUAGAUCUGUCUUUGUGCAUGUGUAAAAUAUUUUACUGGUUAUGUUAUAUUCAAUUUGGUAAAAAAUUUAAAAAAAGAAAAUUGCCAUUUUUGCCACACAUUUCAGCUGUAAUGUUGUGUAAGGUAGUAUUCACUGGAUGCUAGAACCUUCUUUUCAAAACCACUAUUCUUCUAAUAAAUUUUGUUGUGAAAAU
ensembl:lncRNA